AAGUUCAAGCUCCGAUUAUGAGGGCGAAACCGCGAAUGGCUCAUUAAAUCAGUCAUAAUCUACUUGAUAAGUUUAUAUGGAUAACUGUGGUAAUUCUAGAGCUAAUACAUGCACAAAGGGGACGACUCGCGAGAAGUUCUGCGUUUAUUAGACUAAGACCAAUGGUCGUUUCGGGCGUAUCUUUAAUUAAGGUGACUCUGAGUAAAUAAUGGGUGAAAGCCCAUGUUGCUGACCUGACAUCCCAAAAGGCACUUUGUCUGGCAAAUCAAUCGUGUGUCUGCUCUAUCAACUGUGGAUGGUAGGAUAAUUGCCUACCAUGGUGAUGACGGGUAACGGGGAGUUAGGGCUCGACUCCGGAGAACAAGCCUGAGAAACGGCUAGUAGGACUAAGGUCUGCAGCAGGCGCGAAACUUACACAAUGCUAGAUUACAAUUAGCGAUGUAGUGAAGAAAAAUAACGAUGUACUUCCAUUUAAACAUGGUAGUACAAUUGGAAUGAGACGACUAUAAACGAGUUAGUCGAGUAACAAAUGGAGGGCAAGUCUGGUGCCAGCAGCCGCGGUAAUUCCAGCUCCAUUAGCAUACAUUAAAGUUGUUGCGGUUAAAAAGCUCGUAGUUGAAUUUUAGGCGGGCUCUAUUGGGCAGCAAUCGUUAAGGUUCUAUCAUAUUCAUUCACUUGGAUGGGUAACUGGUUGUGCCCUAUAGGAACCCGCUGUUUCGUCACUUAAUCGAGUGCGAAGCGGGCUGGAACAUGGUUUAUCUCUCGGAGGUCCAUGUUACAGCAUGUUUACCUUGAGAAAAUUAGAGUGCUCACAGCAGGCAGUUGGGGUGUAAAAGCUCCUUUAUGCUUGAAUAAUGUUGCAUGGAAUAAUAGAAUACGGCCUCGGUUCUAUUCUGUUGGUCUUAUAGAACAACAAACAAGUUGGUUAAAGCGAUCAAAAGCCUCUUUGUGGCGUGGCUUUGAGUCACUGUGGUUGUUUGGUAGGUGUUGCCUGUGUUUCUAUUUCUGUUGCCUGGGGCCUUAAAAUCUCAGCGCCAGGAUUGGUUUUGGAAUGUUCAUUCAUCUGGUCAUAGCUCUUUUAGUCUUUUAAAGCGCUACUUAUUGGGCUAGCUUUUAAUCAACUGAGGCAAUGGUUAAAAGAAAUAGUCGCGGCGGCAUCAGUACUGCGAGAGGUGAAAUUCUUAGACCGAUGCAUAACAGGUCUGUGAUGCCCUUAGAUACUCUAGGCCGCACGCGUGCUACAAUGGCGUGUGCAGAAAGCUUGUUCGAGGUUUGUCUAGAGAGAACUGGCCAUUUGGUUUGUUGUUGGUGGCAACAUUUAGUGAAUCGGUGGAAAAGUGACUUUAGCAGGCCGAGAGAAACCGUUGUCGAAAGAUAACGGCAAUCAAAAAUACACGCCGUGAUUUGGGAUUGGGGAUUGCAAUUGUUGCCCAUGAACGAGGAAUUCCCAGUAAGCGCAAUUCAUCAUAUUGCGUUGAUUACGUCCCUGCCCUUUGUACACACCGCCCGUCGCUACUACCGAUUGGAAGUUUUAGUGAGGCAUUUGGACCUGCCGGCCAUUGGGAGGAACUCUUCUGGGUUGGCGGGGAAGUCUGUCGAACUCAAAUUUCUAGAGGAAGUAAAAGUCGUAACAAGGUUUCCGU
rnacentral:rRNA from 1 species